rnacentral:rRNA from 1 species
GACGAACGCUGGCGGUGUGCUUCACACAUGCAAGUCGAACGAGGUAGCAAUACCUAGUGGCGGACGGGUGAGUAACGCGUGGGAAUCUGCCUUUAGAUGGGGGGAUAACGGGUCGAAAGACUCGCUAAUACCGCAUAUGACGAAAGUUGAAAGGAGUAAUCCGUCUAAAGAUGAGCCCGCGUCCGAUUAGCUAGUUGGUAGAGUAAAAGCCUACCAAGGCGACGAUCGGUAGCUGGUCUGAGAGGAUGAUCAGCCACAAUGGGAC